UGUCGCUGCCGGAGCCUCGCGCUUACUCGUACUUGCUAUUUAUCCGUUUAAGAUUUCACAUUAAAAGAUGUGUGCUUUAGCAGAAAAUCGCGCAGGAUACAGAUAAAUAUACAACAGAUAAAAGACAUCAAAAAGUGCUCCGUAAAUCAAAAGUGUCUGAGAUUCAACUCACGCUUUUGUGUGAAAUGGAUGUUUUGUUCCGUUUUUGAGCGAGUAAACACUGGGGAGAACAUGGAGAGAAGUACUUCGGAUAAAUGGACGUGAAAUGUAAUUGUACUGGAGACUUCGAUGCUGCAAGUGAAUAAUAAAACACGGCAAUCAAAUGACCACAGAGGUCAGGUCCACCACCCCUUCUCAGCUUAGGUAAUUGAGUAAGUGAGAAGUUAACCACCCUGCUCAAUGGCAGGGAAUCCUGGUGCCCCUCCUUCUCAGGAGGGUCACAUUGUCCUGCCACUCUCCCACCAGUGUAAUCCCCUCCACCAGGACAAUGGACCUGCCCACAGGCCACAGAGAUGCAUAAGCCUACCAUCUAGCAAGCACCCUUCAUCCAGCCCGGCUAACUGCUAAUGGCACCCGGUACAUCAAAGCCAAUGGCUCAGCUCGUGUGUGUGUUUACUUAUUCAUGUCGGCCUCGGAGAUGGUCCGUGGAGAUGAAACAGCAGUGGCAAGGAGACCCACACUGAUGUGCGUUACGGAACAGCUCCCCUGUGGUCUCAAGUGUGGAGUUAGAAAAGCCAGAGUCAGCGCUGGUUGGAGCUGUGAUCUAUGUUGCAACGAUGAGGGGAUAUCUGACCCCUACAUCAAACAUCUUGUCCCAGUAAUGCAGCCUGUUAUCAGAAAGGCGUAAGACGAGUGGAGAGUGGGAGUUGCGAUGGUGGUGGAGGAGUCAACCCGGAGCAGGUGAAUGCAGCUGCGGACCGCCAUGGGCUCUCUUCCAUCGGUCCCAACUCUCCAUCUUCGGGUCUCUGAAAGACGGCAGGGGCCAGCCAGGGAGCAUCAGUGUGGGCAGCCGAGGCAGCUCGCUUUUCCCGCCGGCUACCGACUCCUCUGCAGCGAGGAGGGAGAGAAAUCAAUACUGAGGAGAGAUGCUGCCAGGGGUCGCCCAACACUGCCUCCAGCCAUGGAGCCAUGGGAGCCCAUGUACUCAGCUUUCUCUUCCUCAACCCAAUUUCAGUCAACUCACAUCAGCUAAAGAGAGGGCCAAGAGUCUUGCUGCUCUUCAUGCAACAGUGAGUUUAUGUGUGGUUCUACCAGAGGGCCUUUCCAGACCCGGCAUCACUUGAUAAAAUUCGGAGAACGAAUAGAAAAAGAAUGUCAAAGGUCUUUUUUCCCCUGUCUUUGAUUCCUUUUUCACCAUGAGUGCACAUUCCCCCUGACUGUUUGAAUGAGUGCUUGAUGGAGAUCUCUUUUACAAUAAAUCAAGAGGAUGAGAGAACAGUUUGAAUCGUUUUUUUUUUACCUUUUCCAGAUGAUUUUUUUAACUAAUCACCAACGUUCGAGAGCUUGGAAAAGGACUUUGCCUUGAUUUGUAGGGAAGGGCUUGGCACUCACCUUUGCUUGGUACUUCAUAACGGUUUUUACCCCUGACCAUGGCAUUUGAUGGGUAUUAACAACAUUGCAGACCAAGGGAAGGACAAUGCAAGUGAUUCAUAGAGCUCAGAGGUUGAAAAGUCUCCUGAUUAGUCCUCUUGAGCAAGUGCCACAAAAGUUGCUAUCGCCUGCAAGGCCCAAGAUCCGCUUGGGGUGUGGAAGACUCUGAAAUGUCCAUGAAACAAGAUGCAGACAACUCAAAAAUGGAUGAAUGCAAGGAUAUUGGUUUCAUUGCAUGCUGGUUGCAGAAGAUAGUUCCCGUAUCUGUGGAUGCCCAUUGGAAAUGGAGUAACCCUUUCAAAAAAGAAGUGAAUUAGGUUCUUUAAGAACGCAAGUGAUGCCGACCAAAGCUGAACGAGUUGUUCCUUUAACCCAGGACCAUCACAGACCAUUCAGAGAACUUUCUUUCUUUCUUUCUUUCUUUCUUUCUUUCUUUCUUUUUCUUUCUUUUGCUUCUUUCUUUCUCUUUCUUUCUUUUUCUUUCUUUUCCUUCUUUCUGUUUUUCUUUCUUUUCCUUCUUUCUGUUUUUCUUUUUCUUUUCCUUCUUUCUUUCUUUUUCUUUCUUUUACUUCUUUCUUUCUUUCUUUCUUUCUUUCUUUCUUUUCCUGUCUUUUCCUUCCUUCCUUCUUUCUUUCUUUUCCAUUUAUUUCGCUUCUUUCUUUUUCUUUUCCUGUCUUUUCCUUCCUUCUUUCUUUCUUUUCCCUUUCUUUUGCUUCUUUCUUUUUAUUUUUCUUUAUUCUUUUUUCUUUUCUUUUCCUUCUUUCUUUCUUU